rfam:Lachnoclostridium sp. An118 An118_contig_3, whole genome shotgun sequence.
GCGGAGAUGGCGGAAUGGCAGACGCGCUAGAUUCAGGUUCUAGUGGGAGCAAUCCUGUGAGGGUUCAAGUCCCUUUCUCCGCA